CCCUUAGCUGUUUCUUUGAGCUUGAAACAGCAGGAGACAAGCCAAGAGCUUGGAUUUGGAGCUAAGUGGAAGAGAGAUCUUGGAACCUAGAGCAUUUGGAGCUUGAUUUGAAGCUUCUAGAGAGGGCUUUAGAGACUAGAUUGGUGG